CUCCCGCCUUCUUCUCAGCGGUGCGUAUCCUCUAAGACACCUCUGUCCCGCGGAGGAUUAUUUAUUUAUUCGCUGAGCUCUCGGAGGCCAUUUGAUUCUCCACGCUGAGAAGCACCGGAGCGCUAUACCAGUCUAACCACCUGUAGCUCUACACGCACCCAGAAAAAAACAAACUGCCGGCCGGCGACAAGCGCGAUGACCUCCGCGCGCCGCGUCAUGCGCACUACGAUUGCCGCUGCCGAACUGCUGGAGGUUCUGGAAGGGAAGCGCUAAAGUGGCUCCGGCUCAUUCGUGCAGGAUGGACUCGGAGAGGACGCUGGCUGCAGCACGACAGGGAGAUCUAGACGCCCUGAAACAGCUGCAUCGGGAUCGAGGGUUGCUUGCAGAAGUGCGAGAUCCGCUUGGGGCUACUUUGGUGCACCACGCAGCCCGUGCUGGGCGACUGAGCUGCGUUCGAUACUUAGUGGAAGACGCGGGACUGUCCGGCUUCAGCCGUGCCAGGAACGGAGCGAGUCCCGCACAUGACGCGGCAGCCACGGGUAACCUGGGGUGUCUGCAGUGGCUUCUGAACCUGGGUGGCUGUAGAGCGAAGGAUAGGGAUAACUCUGGGGCCACAGUAUUACACCUUGCAGGCCGCUUUGGCCAUCAUGAGAUUACAGACUGGCUCCUAAGGAGUGGGGAAGGGGACCCCAAUGCUGUGACAGACACUGGAGCCCUUCCUGUCCACUAUGCUGCAGCCAAAGGAGACCUUGCCUCACUAAGACUUCUUUUGGAGCAUAAUCCCAGUGUGAUCAAUGCCCAAACAAAAAAUGGUGCCACUCCCCUGUAUCUGGCCUGUCAGGAAGGUCACCUUGAGGUUGUCCAAUACCUGGUGAAGGACCGUGGUGCGGGGCCACAUAUAAGAGCCAAUGAUGGGAUGACACCUCUCCAUGCAGCCGCCCAAAUGGGUCACAACACAAUCAUUGUAUGGCUGAUGAGUUUCACAGAUAUUAGUCUGUCUGACCCAGAUGAUGAUGGUGCCAGUGCUAUGCAUUUUGCUGCCAGUCGAGGCCAUGCAAAAGUCCUCAGCUGGCUCCUCCUUCAUGGUGGAGAAAUUUCAAGGGACAAUUGGGGGGGCACACCACUCCAUGACGCUGCUGAAAAUGGUGAACUUGAAUGUUGUCAGAUAUUAGUGGUGAACGGAGUGGACCUUGGAAUCAAAGAUCAUGAUGGUUAUUCUGCUGCUGACCUAGCAGAAUAUAAUGGACACUCCCAGUGUGCCAAGUAUCUGCGCACAGUGGAGAAUAUGAGUGUGGAGCACAGAGUACUUUCUCGAGACCCCUCUGCUGACCUGGAGUUCAAGCAGCCUGAUUCAGGGAUGUCCUCACCCAACACAACAAUGUCGUCCACAGCCCAGCAAAUGCGAUAUGACAUUGGUUCGCCCACCAGCACUUUGUCCAACUAUGAUUCCUGCAACUCAAGCCAGUCUAGCACAGGAGAGAAGAGGGGAGCCAACCCCACUGCAAGCAGAGGUGCAGGGAUGCCAGAAACUGCCAUUACUGAUAUGCAGACAUAUAUGGACAUGUUGAACCCAGAACUAGGUGCAGGAGGCCAAAAGAAAUCUUCAUUAAAUCCUGGUGCAGCACCCCCUCCUCCCCCGCCUAGCUUUCCUCCCCCUCCUCCUCCAGCUUCUGCCAUUCCCCCUCCUCCCCCUACAUAUCCUGCUCCAAACCCACCUGACGGUCAGCCAUCUGCCGAGAUCUACCUACAGGUGAAGAAUAAUCUACGGCAUGUGGAGAGUGAUACUAUAAAGAAUGAGCUGGUUCCAGAAAACUGCACCCCAGAGAGGUUACGACGGGCUGACUCCAACAGAAAGUCCAGAAACUUCAACAAGCAGCCCAGCACAGGAGAUUACUACAAAUCGCUCAGCUCUGACGUGACGGCCAAGCGUGGGAACAAGACGAUGGCCCCGGAAGAGGAGGUAGAGCGUGAGAUCAGGGGUUCACCCAUGCUAGAGGAGGCAAUGGAGAGGGGAAACAGUCUAGACAAUGAUGCCAUAGAUGGCCAGCCUGGCCCUCCUCCUCCACCCCCACCCCUUCCAGAGAGCCGUCCAACCCCUCCCCCACCUCCUCCACUCCCUACUGACUGCACCCAGACUAGCACAGACCAGCGGCGUCCAUCUUCAUCUUCUGGAAAUGUGAUUGCACUCAGACAAAUGAAAAGUUCAAAAUCAUUCAACAUGAUGUCCCCUACUGGUGAUAAUUCUGAACUGUUAGCAGAAAUUAAGGCCGGAAAAAGCCUAAAGCCAACUCCUCAAAAUAAAGGCUACACAACAGUUUUCUCAGGCAGUGGGCAGCCUGUGCACAGUGCGGAGCCACCAAUAUCUCCUGCUCCAGUAAGUCCAACAGUUCAGCCGUCAUCCCCUAGUGCCAGCCUGCCUGCAACACCCUCUGCUCCACCUUGUGAUAGCCUGCCAAGCCUGAAAUCCAGCAGUGAGCAGGGUAGCUGUUCUGUGGUAAAUGGCUGGGCUGAGUCAAAGAUGCCCAAUUCUGGUAGUCUGGCAGACGUCGAGUCUUUGGUGCCUACACAUGAUGAGCAGGGCCGGCCCAUCCCUGAGUGGAAGAGGCAGGUCAUGGUCCGCAAACUGCAGCUCAAGAUACAAGAAGAGGAAGAGCAGAAACGCAAGGAGAAAGAGGAAGAGGCACGCUUAGCAGCAAUGCCAGCCUGGAGAAGAGAAAUUGUAAAGAAGAAGCUGGAAGAAGAAAAAGAGCAGAAAAGGUAAGAAUCAUAUUCCUUAAGGUGCAUUUUCCAGUAUGUUGCUUCUACAUUUACAACCAGUAGCUGGCAGUAUUUGAUCACAGGAUUCAGCUUUCCUUCUGGCCAUUACAACGCUGUCUGGUCAUGUUAUGCGAUAACCUUGUUCUGCAUUAAACUUCAAGUGUUUCACACCUCUGUUGUCAGAAGACGAUAGUUUAUUUCCUGUAUGUUCUUUUAUUUAUUAUUAUUAUUAUGGUUGCCUCUCUGGUAUAAGUAAUAUUUUGUGAUCUUUUCAAAAAGACACCUGUUUUUGAUUAGUGUUCUGAUAUGCUAUAUUAGUCAGUGAUUCCUCUAAUAAGACCAUUAACACAUCCUUUGAGUUUAUCGCAGUGAACUGUAGCACAAAUGUACUUUAUAUUUAAUAGAAUACAUACCAGCAGAAGUAGCAGAAUGUGCAGCCCUUCAUAUUAAAAAUAGCCUAUUGGUCAGCACAUUUCUUCUAGCUGUUAAUCGUUAAAGUAAUAUUGACAUGACAUCACUGCUGCUCAAGCAUCACUGUACAACUGCACAAGAAGGAAAUGCACGGAAAAAAAGACUUCACAUCCUUAUCCAACUACCAUGGUAACGUUUCAGUUUACUGUAACUUUCAAGAUUCUCCUGCUUAAUCACAGAACACUGCAGAACCUGGGACCCAAGUUCCUGUCCACCUUGCUGACCCACUCUCUCCCUGUGUACUCAGUGGGGUCCUCCAACAACAGCCUUCCUGCCUUCCCGGAGCAAAAGCGAGUAACCCUUAGGAAAAAAGAGGAAGAAAGGCUAAAGAAAGAAAAGCAAGAAGAGGAAAAAGCACAGCUAGAAAAAUUACGAACCCUUGGCUAUGAUGAAACAAAGCUUGCACCCUGGCAGCGGCAGGUUAUCCUAAAGAAAGGUGACAUAUCCAAGCAUUAAGAGAAGAGCAGGAUGGGGACGCAUCCUUUCUGGCUGUGUGUCACUGAAAACCAAAUCUGCGCUGUUUUGUGGAGAAGGGCAGUCUUUUUCUGCCUCUUGCUACCUGUGUCAGAGUGGUAAAAUUAAAAUCAAGACCAGUAGGCUGCAGUGAGAUCUGUAGCUUUCACAAAAAGCAAAGACUUUAUGAAUCCGAUCAUUACCCUUUUGGGACAUGACUAUUAUCUUAGUUAAGUAUAAAAAUUUAAGUGGAUGCUUUAUAUGGAGAAGCCUCCAUUUGCCUUUUUAAGUAAGAUAUCAGCCCUUAAAUCCUCUGCCCUUUUAAUAUUUCCCCUUACUCUUACCUCAUCGCCCAUUGUUCCUGUUUGUAAGAAACUAUUGCUUCAGGAAGAUUUCUUCUGUCAUAAUUUGGGAAAAGGAAAUUCUACAAGUUUCUUUUUCAUGACACUAUACAGCCAACCAACACAUCUUAUCCAUGGCUUGUAAGAGUCUGAAAUAAAUUCAGUCACUUAUAAAAUCCAGCUUCUGGCAAAUAUUCUCUCUGCUGUUCCAGAAAGCAGCAUAUGAGAAUGUAAGAGAUAAAAGUCGUUAGUUAUUUACUGAGUUCUUCAGUAGACUGGCAGCAAGACAUGCUGAAGUAGAAUGAGCCAGCAGCCAUUAGUAACCUUUAAGCUACAGCUACAUUUUCUCUGUUUUGUUCAUUUCAAAAUUCUGUCAGCUAUAGCCAAACAUGACAGAGUGUACAACUCAUGGUGUUUUUUUUUUUUUUUUUAAUCUUACCUGGUUUAAAUGCAGUACAACUCUGUACAUCAUUUUAUUGCUUAUAAUGGCUGGGUACAUAAAUUUAAAGUUUAACAUAGUCAAUUCACCAAAAAUUGUGGUGAGAAUGGCCUUUAAAUGAUUUGCUUUUUUACAUACUCUGUCUUAUAUGUAGCUGAAAAUGUGAACGACUCUCUAUACACUUAGAUCUCAAGUGGCACAUAUGUUGUGCAAAAUAAAGUCCGUUUUGAUUGGCAUGAGACCAUAAAUGAAUUUAGACAGUGCUUGGGCUAGCAGUGGUGUAACAUGCUUGCUGAAGUAACCUAGGCUGAAAGUGUUAGCAAAAGUUGUGCUAAGGCCCCUACUUAGGUCCAUUUGUCAGUGUCAGAGCUGUGUGAUAAACAAAGGAGAACCAUGAUUCCUGGAAUAAGGCCUUGUAGUUGCUUUCACUGGCAUUUGGCUCAAAUACUACACUUACCUUUAAAGGACUUCUUUAAGUUUCCAUGUUGAAGUCUUUGCGUCCUACCAUGGCAUCAUAGUGCCUGGACCUUGCUCAGGAGUAGAUUGCCUCAUUCCAAAGUUUUCUUGGGAUACGCUUGGAAACCUUGCACAGAUCAAUUGACCCUGCCAGCUACACUUUUAAUACACACAAUUUGCUCUUGAUGUACAUUUAUUUUGCAAAUGAAGAUUUAUAUAUUGUAUAGGAGCAUUUCAUGCAGAAUACAGGUAUCUGGUCAAUAAUGCUCAAUAACAUUAAAUUCAUAUCAGUGGAUGCCAUAAUAUUUUUAAGACAAAUGAAAAGCUGAUGCCAUUAGAAAGUUUUCUUUUGCUAAUCUGUAUCUCCUGUUGUCUUGUAAAUGUUAUCAGUCCUUAAUUUUUUGAAGCAUGCUUAAGUAGCUGAUGGAUAUAUUUGUGUAAAAUAAAGAAAUAAAAAGAAAUUAAAUACAUAUUCUUUCUGUAUUUGAAAUUAAAUUAAUCUUUAAAUGUA